rnacentral:rRNA from 1 species
UACGUAGGGUGCGAGCGUUAAUCGGAAUUACUGGGCGUAAAGCGUGCGCAGGCGGUUUUGUAAGCCAGAUGUGAAAUCCCCGGGCUUAACCUGGGAAUGGCAUUUGGGACUGCAAGGCUGGAGUGCGGCAGAGGAGACUGGAAUUCCUGGUGUAGCAGUGAAAUGCGUAGAUAUCUGGAGGAACACCGAUGGCGAAGGCAGCCCCCUGGGAUAACACUGACGCUCAUGCACGAAAGCGUGGGGAGCAAACAGG